rnacentral:lncRNA from 7 species
GGUCAGGGAAAUGAGCUUCCCCAGGGACUUUCUACUGCUGCUGAAAGAGCUCAAGGUUUAAGACUCCUAUCUGCCCCACAGAAACAGAAAUGAUGGGAAUGUGGUUGCCACAGAUGAGGCUAAACUUCACCACUUACAGGAUGACUGGCUUUCUCAGGACACUGGGUGAAGAUCAGCUUGAGAAGAGGCAGCAGAUACAGAAGAUGAUGACCCAGCUACCUGGAAGAGAAACAACAGAGUCUCAGGAGAAUGUGGGCAGCAAGGGGUUUUCUUGAAGAUGCUCACAGCAGAGAACCCUCCAAGUAUGGAGUAAAAAGCCAGUUCUGUACUGUAAAGCAAUAGAUUCCAGCAGCCAAAGAGGGAAAAGAAAUGAUUGCCAACGUGCUUUCCCUCCAGCAAGCUGGAAAGUAAAUUUGAAACUGAGUGUGAACAGUAAGCAGCUCGUGUGGUGAGUCAGAGUGAGGUCUUGCAUUAGAAUUGAAAAGUCAUAGUGUACAUUUCUGCUCAUGAGUGAAACCUGGACUUCCUUUUCAGUGCCUUCUUAGGACAUGCCAGCCCUGUCAGCAGUCAUGGCCUGGUCUUAGAAAUGAAACUUAUUUUGUUAGGCCCUGCCUUGGGUCACUGCCCAUGGCGGCCUGUCUCUUUUGCAUCGUGCCAUCUUCACUUGUGGGAGCAAUGGGCUUGGUUUUGGAUCUCGUUCUAACCACUGUUUAUGCAGCCACCUCCUUGUGCCAAACCAAGCUGGACUCCAAGGCCACGUCUGUGCUCUCUGGAACAGCACUGGUGCAAUCUUGGUGAGUAACACUGCUUCCCAAGCCAGCUUGGCUGGAAAGCAGCUUCCCAGGCUUUUUUGUGCAGGCAGCCAGUUAAGAUGUUACCCAGAGCCUGCUGGACUAUUCCAGCUACCAGAUCUUACUGUAGACAGUCUACAGGAAGGUGAUUUCUAUGCUUUCUCUGUUCGUAGUUAUCCUAUAAAUACAUUGGUCUGGAUUAUCUAUGUUUUUUCAAGUCCUCUCAAGGCAUUACUGUACAAGUAGUAAAAGUUAUC